GUGCUUGCUUCGGCAGCACAUAUACUAAAAUUGGAACGAUGCGAGAAGAUUAGUAUGGCCCCUGCACAAGGAUGAUACGCUAAUUCGUGAAACAUUCCAUAUUUAA